UGGACUACUAGGGUAUCUAAUCCUGUUUGCUCCCCACGCUUUCGAGCCUCAGCGUCAGUUACAGACCAGAGAGCCGCCUUCGCCACUGGUGUUCCUCCAUAUAUCUACGCAUUUCACCGCUACACAUGGAAUUCCACUCUCCUCUUCUGCACUCAAGUCUCCCAGUUUCCAAUGACCCUCCCCGGUUGAGCCGGGGGCUUUCACAUCAGACUUAAGAAACCGCCUGCGCUCGCUUUACGCCCAAUAAAUCCGGACAACGCUUGCCACCUACGUAUUACCGCGGCUGCUGGCACGUAGUUAGCCGUGGCUUUCUGGUUAGAUACCGUCAGGGGACGUUCAGUUACUAACGUCCUUGUUCUUCUCUAACAACAGAGUUUUACGAUCCGAAAACCUUCUUCAC
rnacentral:misc_RNA from 1 species